GCCUUGCCAGCCCGCUACAGAAACUUAAAGGAAGUAGACGGGGCCGGCACAAGCGGAGGAGCAUGUGGUUUAAUUCGAUGAUACGCGAGGAACCUUACCUGGGCUCGAACGUAAGAUGACUGUAGGUGAAAGCUUACAUCUCUUCGGAGCAUUUUACGAGGUGCUGCAUGGUUGUCGUCAGCUCGUGCCGUGAGGUGUCGGGUUAAGUCCCAUAACGAGCGCAACCCCUACCUUUAGUUGCCAUCAGGUUAAGCUGGGGACUCUAAAGGAACUGCCUACGCAAGUAGUGAGGAAGCGGGGAUGACGUCAAAUCAGCACGGCCCUUACGUCCAGGGCUACACACGUGCUACAAUGGCCGAUACAGAGGGCAGCUACCUGGUGACAGGAUGCAAAUCUCCAAAGUCGGUCUCAGUUCGGAUCGGAGUCUGCAACCCGACUCCGUGAAGUUGGAUUCGCUAGUAAUCGCGCAUCAGCCAUGGCGCGGUGAAUACGUUCCCGGGCCUU
rnacentral:rRNA from 1 species